GGGAGGAUCUGAAGGGCUGCUCUGGGCUUUGCAUGAGAAAGAGAUAGAUCUCGCGGGUUUGGGGAAACUGUAGUGUGUGGAGUGGAGCGUGAGGUUGUGGGAUGGAGAUGGGUUGGAGAACUUGAAAGGGAGGAGUCGGUGGGCAGGGGUAGAGGAGACAGAUCUAGGGUUGAGCAGCUUGAACGAGGAAGAGAAGUUCCUGAGAGCAGGGGUAGAAGAAGCCAUUAUCAGAGAAAGCUAUCAAACGAGAAAGAAAGAAAAAGAAUGAUAG
rnacentral:lncRNA from 1 species